rnacentral:rRNA from 1 species
AUGUGUCAUCUAAAGCUGACACACAAUAUGAGGGCAGAUAGCGACCCAUGGUUUGCACAAUACUUGUUGUGGUUUGGUGAUGGAAAGGAGGAGGCCAAUGAUGAUGGUAAUAUCCACCUUCCAGACAAGAUCUGUACGUGUACUGGGAAGGACACUGACCUUGAUACACUGAUAUAUAAUGUUUUUCCCGGUUUUAGUGCUAACAUGGCAGACCCAAACUACAUCACCUCAAGAGCAAUAUUAUUGACCCGAAAUGAUUGUGCGGAUAAGAUUAAUAUGACAGAUGAUCAAUCAAUUUCGGGGAGAUGA